rnacentral:lncRNA from 1 species
AAAUGCAUAGAAAUGUUCUUAGUACUCUCUUAUCUUUUUGAAGCCUGCAAACUUUAUUGUAAUAUUCCUGUUUUAUUCUGAAAAUUGGUAAUUUAUAUCUUUUUUGUCACUUCAAAAAAAGAAACAGUUCUUUGUUUUAUUAAUUUUCCCCUUUGUUUUUAUGCCUUCAAUAUAAUUGGUUUCUGCUUUUACUUUAUUAUUUCUUUCCUUCUUGCUUUGCAAUAAUAUUAUUCUUUUUCUAAGUUCUUGAGAUGAAAGCUUAGCCAUUAAUUUAAGACUUUCAUUCAUGUUAUUCCUUAAUUUUUAAAUUUUACAUCUUGUAGGUAUAUAGUAGAUGUAUAUAUUUAUGUGUGUAUACAUAUAUGUAUAUUUUGAGAUACAGGAGGGAAGUCUCACUCUGUCACUCAGGCUGAAGUGCAGUGGUGUGAUCUUGGCUCACUGCAACCUCUGCCUCCCAGGUUCAAGCAAUUCUCCUGUUUCAGCCUUCCAAUUAGGUGGGAUUACAGGUGCCAGCCACCAUGCCUGGUAAAUUUUUAUAUUUUU